UGGGGAAUAUUGCACAAUGGGCGCAAGCCUGAUGCAGCCAUGCCGCGUGUAUGAAGAAGGCCUUCGGGUUGUAAAGUACUUUCAGUCGGGAGGAAGGUGGUAAGGUUAAUAACCUUAUCAAUUGACGUUACCGACAGAAGAAGCACCGGCUAACUCCGUGCCAGCAGCCGCGGUAAUACGGAGGGUGCAAGCGUUAAUCGGAAUUACUGGGCGUAAAGCGCACGCAGGCGGUUUGUUAAGUCAGAUGUGAAAUCCCCGGGCUCAACCUGGGAACUGCAUCUGAUACUGGCAAGCUUGAGUCUCGUAGAGGGGGGUAGAAUUCCAGGUGUAGCGGUGAAAUGCGUAGAGAUCUGGAGGAAUACCGGUGGCAAAGGCGGCCCCCUGGACGAAGACUGACGCUCAGGUGCGAAAGCGUGGGGAGCAAACAGG
rnacentral:rRNA from 1 species